GUUGUGGAUCUAUCUAUCAAUCAAUCAAUCAAUGAUGAUGAUGAUGAUGACGACGACGACGAUGUUCGAGACAAAAACGGAACGUUUCUCUUUUGGAAAUUUUCUCGCAAUCAACAAAUCCGGAAUUCCUUUUCUUGAAAAACCCAUGUUUAUGAAUAUGAUAUCUGUUUUUUUGCAUUGGAUCAUAUAUGUUGUUGGAUCACAUACCAUGGCCAAAGAUGAAAAGAAAAUCAUGCAAACAAUGGAUCGUAUACAACAUUCAAAGGCCAUCAAUCAAUCAAUCAACAGGAAAAAAGGCGUUUACCACCUGGUUUUCAAAUGAUAAUACCGGCUAAUGAUUAUGGUAAUGAUACCAUCCAAUAUAUCAAACACAAACACACGGUGUGAGGUUUUUAUUCAUCAAAAAAAAGCCAAAUCAUCUAAAAUGUGACGUGAUAUUGGCUUUGUGCCAUUGAAGGAUUUCCUUUGAUUUCGUUUUUUUUUCUCAUCAUCAUUAUCAUCAUCAUCAUCUGAGAAGAAAAUACUGAAAGGAAAGAAAUCCAAUCAUAUAUGAGUUCAAUACAUAAUCAACUUUCUCAUCGUUGAUUAGAUCCAAGAUGAUUGAAUUAUUUCAUCGACGACAACAACAAGAUUUGUUUGAUCAUCACAAAUAGAAGACAAUUUC